UACGAAGGUCCCGAGCGUUGUUCGGAAUCACUGGGCGUAAAGGGAGCGUAGGCGGCGCGGUAAGUCGGAUGUGAAAUCCCGGGGCUCAACCCCGGAACUGCAUCUGAUACUGCCGUGCUAGAGUAAUGGAGAGGUAGCUGGAAUUAUCGGUGUAGCAGUGAAAUGCGUAGAUAUCGAUAGGAACACUCGUGGCGAAAGCGAGCUACUGGACAUUUACUGACGCUGAGGCUCGAAGGCUAGGGGAGCGAAAGGG
rnacentral:rRNA from 2 species